CGUUGCCUAGUAGCCGGCUGCUGGUUGUUUAGCUGUCGGCGCAACCUGCAGCAACCGACUCCACACUGACCUAUACCCCGAGCGUAGUGCUGCUAUCUAAAGGUCCCGUGUCAGUCCGAUAACUUUCCUACAUAUCCUAUCGCAUACCAUGAAAUAGAUUAGACUGGCUAUUGCACGCUAUUGUGUCACGUAUUAACGGGUUACUAGUAAUUUGCCCAUUGCCCGUCGGUUUGAAUACCCAGCCGGGCAGCUAGUUACGCGGCAGACUCACUCUGGAAGCCGUCCACAAUGACGAGCGGGUGGCGAGCUAGAGCUACUGUAGUUAUCGUCUCCAGUGGCGACCACCGCUGAGUACUCGCGUAGAAAGGAAGACAGCCAGAUAGGCAAAGAGGAAGAAAACGAGUGAAAGGUUCAGUUUCGAUAAAGCGUGUUUCCUACGCCUGUUGUGUAAUAAGAUGUAACAUUAGUGCUCCGUGCGGUAUUCUGAUGUCGAUCUUUUUUGGUGUUACGCUUCUUUUGUUCGUGUGUAUAGCUGGUGGCUUCUUCUGUCCGUGUGUAUAGCUUUUACAAGAUCUUUGCAAACGUUCAACGUGUAUACGAGGCCAAUGUGUUACUGCAAUUUUUAUCGGCAACAGGAAGAGGCCUUUUGCACGUGUGACGUUGGUCUAUCGACUGGAUCUCACACUAGAACAGUACACACAUAACAACAAGAGAACAACAGAGGAAAAGUACGCCAAUAAGCUAUUUAUCUGAGUGUUUGUUGUUAUUUGCUGGUGCUGCUUUUGUUACGGCUAUUUCUGCUGGGCGCGGAAUGAGUGACUGUAAGAGGGAGCAAAACGGAAAAAUGGACUCCGGUUGAUUUGCCUAUUGUAAAUUAACGCGAGUGUGUGGUGUCUAAUAGUUACGACAUCUGGUUUGGCCGGUGAUGGUUGAUUUCCAUGUGUGCUUCUUCAACGCACUGGCGUACUCAGCCAAUUGUUCAGAAUAGUUGGCUGAUCAGCUGUGUAAGACAAGGAAGUGAAAUUGCAAGGAACUGAGAAUUGAAUGUAUAUUAUUGUAUGACCGCCAUCAAUGUCCGUCAUGAUUGGGAAUUCACAGUUCACAUCAGAUCUCGUUCGGCUCAGCAUGGAUGGUGAUUCCGACUCUGGACGGGACGACAAUAUGGUGUCUUCUUUGGUGACGCGGCCGGGUUUAUUGCAGUACGACGACCCGGCAGAUGCCGUUACCUAUGAGAAUGGCGACAAUAACGACGACGACGACGACGACGACGACGACGAAGACGACGACGACGAAGACGACGACGACGAAGACGACGA